rnacentral:rRNA from 1 species
GACGAACCGUGCGAACGUUGUUCGGAAUCACUGGGCUUAAAGGGCGCGUAGGCGGCUUCACAAGUCGGGGGUGAAAUCUUUCGGCUCAACCGGAAAAGUGCCUCCUAUACUGUGGAGCUCGAGGGAGGUAGGGGCAGACGGAACUUCCGGUGGAGCGGUGAAAUGCGUUGAUAUCGGAAGGAACGCCGGUGGCGAAAGCGGUCUGCUGGCCCUCUACUGACGCUGAGGCGCGAAAGCGUGGGGAGCAAACAGG